rnacentral:rRNA from 1 species
UGGGGAAUUUUGGACAAUGGGGGAAACCCUGAUCCAGCCAUCCCGCGUGUGCGAUGAAGGCCUUCGGGUUGUAAAGCACUUUUGGCAGGAAAGAAACGUCAUGGGUUAAUACCCCGUGAAACUGACGGUACCUGCAGAAUAAGCACCGGCUAACUACGUGCCAGCAGCCGCGGUAAUACGUAGGGUGCAAGCGUUAAUCGGAAUUACUGGGCGUAAAGCGUGCGCAGGCGGUUCGGAAAGAAAGAUGUGAAAUCCCAGAGCUCAACUUUGGAACUGCAUUUUUAACUACCGGGCUAGAGUGUGUCAGAGGGAGGUGGAAUUCCGCGUGUAGCAGUGAAAUGCGUUGAUAUGCGGAGGAACACCGAUGGCGAAGGCAGCCUCCUGGGAUAACACUGACGCUCAUGCACGAAAGCGUGGGGAGCAAACAGG